UCCAUGCAGGAAAACAGCAAGUACUGGUAGAAAUGAAGAUUGAAGCUGCAUUUCGUAACUGAACUGUAAAAGUGUUUUGCAAUAGCUAGUCCUCGCAAAGUGUUCCAGUGGUACAUCGUUAAUACCUGUAAUUAAGUGCUUGCAAGCAGUAACAGAAGUAGGAAGAAGAAUGCCAGUCAAGAAGAAAGAUACUGACCGAGCUUUAGUGCUGCUGGAAGAAUAUUGUAAGAAACUAAGGAAGCCAGAAGAGCAACAACUGAAAAAAGCUAUCCGAAAGGUGAUGGGCAUCUUUAAGAGCAGCUUGUUUCAAGCACUUCUAGAUAGUCUCACAGAGAAAGCCACCAGACAUGGAACCAUCUCCCAGUCUUCACUAACGGCUUCUGUUGCAUGUGAUGUCCUUGGAUGCCCAAAAAAUAAGGCAUCCUGAUCCACCUGGCCCAUGUAACAGGGAUCAAAGACAUUUCUCCAUCUACAAACUUAAGCUCCUGUUCUGUGGAAAUGAAGAGGACAAACUGAAAGUCAUAGUCUGUGCAAAUUAAUAGGGACCUCUGGCUUAUGAGGGGGCCAAAUUGUGGACCACUUCUCUCAUA